rnacentral:rRNA from 1 species
CAGUAGCCGCGGUAAUACGUAGGGUGCAAGCGUUAAUCGGAAUUACUGGGCGUAAAGCGUGCGCAGGCGGCUAUGCAAGACAGAUGUGAAAUCCCCGGGCUCAACCUGGGAACUGCAUUUGUGACUGGCAAGCUAGAGUAUGGCGGAGGGGGGUGGAAUUCCGCGUGUAGCAGUGAAAUGCGUAGAUAUGCGGAGGAACACCGAUGGCGAAGGCGACUAUCUGGGCCAACACUGACACUGAGGCACGAAAGCGUGGGGAGCAAACAGGAUUAGAUACCCCUGUAGUCCCUGUCUCUUAUAC